AUUGAACGCUGGCGGCAUGCCUUACACAUGCAAGUCGAACGGUAACAGGGAGCUUGCUCCGCUGACGAGUGGCGAACGGGUGAGUAAUGUAUCGGAACGUACCAUUCAGUGGGGGAUAACGUAGCGAAAGUUACGCUAAUACCGCAUAUUCUGUGAGCAGGAAAGCAGGGGAUCGCAAGACCUUGCGCUGAUUGAGCGGCCGAUAUCAGAUUAGCUAGUUGGUGAGGUAAAGGCUCACCAAGGCGACGAUCUGUAGCGGGUCUGAGAGGAUGAUCCGCCACACUGGAACUGAGACACGGUCCAGACUCCUACGGGAGGCAGCAGUGGGGAAUUUUGGACAAUGGGGGCAACCCUGAUCCAGCCAUGCCGCGUGAGUGAAGAAGGCCUUCGGGUUGUAAAGCUCUUUUGUUGGGGUAAGAAAGCAGUUGGUUAAUACCCGAUUGUUCUGACGGUACCCAAGAAUAAGCACCGGCUAACUUCGUGCCAGCACG
rnacentral:rRNA from 1 species